rnacentral:rRNA from 1 species
CCUACGGGUGGCAGCAGUAGGGAAUAUUGCUCAAUGGGGGAAACCCUGAAGCAGCAACGCCGCGUGGAGGAUGAAGGUUUUCGGAUUGUAAACUCCUUUUGUUAGAGAAGAUAAUGACGGUAUCUAACGAAUAAGCACCGGCUAACUCCGUGCCAGCAGCCGCGGUAAUACGGAGGGUGCAAGCGUUACUCGGAAUCACUGGGCGUAAAGAGCGCGUAGGCGGGAUAGCAAGUCAGAUGUGAAAUCCUAGGGCUUAACCAUAGAACUGCAUUUGCAACGGUUAGUCUAGAGUAUGGUAGAGGUAGGUGGAAUUCUUGGUGUAGGGGUAAAAUCCGUAGAGAUCAAGAGGAAUACUCAUUGCGAAGGCGACCUGCUAGAACAUAACUGACGCUGAUGCGCGAAAGCGUGGGGAGCAAACAGGAUUAGAUACCCCGGUAGUC